rnacentral:rRNA from 1 species
UACGUAGGCAGCGAGCGUUGUUCGGAGUUACUGGGCGUAAAGGGUGCGUAGGCGGUUGUUUAAGUUUGGUGUGAAAUCUCCCGGCUCAACUGGGAGGGUGCGCCGAAUACUGAAUGACUAGAGUGCGGGAGAGGUGAGUGGAAUUCCUGGUGUAGCGGUGAAAUGCGUAGAUAUCAGGAGGAACACCGGUGGUGUAGACGGCUCACUGGACCGUAACUGACGCUGAGACACGAAAGCGUGGGUAGCAAACAGG